rnacentral:rRNA from 1 species
CCUACGGGUGGCAGCAGUGAGGAAUAUUGGUCAAUGGCCGUAAGGCUGAACCAGCCAAGUAGCGUGAGGGAAGACUGCCCUAUGGGUUGUAAACCUCUUUUAUGCGGGGAUAAAGGUGUCCACGUGUGGAUGUUUGCAGGUACCGCAUGAAUAAGGACCGGCUAAUUCCGUGCCAGCAGCCGCGGUAAUACGGAGGAUGCGAGCGUUAUCCGGAUUUAUUGGGUUUAAAGGGUGCGUAGGCGGAAUGCCAAGUCAGCGGUAAAAUCGCGGGGCUCAACCUCGCUCCGCCGUUGAAACUGGCGUUCUUGAGUGGGCGAGAAGUAUGCGGAAUGCGUGGUGUAGCGGUGAAAUGCAUAGAUAUCACGCAGAACUCCGAUUGCGAAGGCAGCAUACCGGCGCCCAACUGACGCUGAAGCACGAAAGCGUGGGUAUCGAACAGGAUUAGAUACCCUUGUAGUC